rnacentral:rRNA from 1 species
AACUAUAACGGUCCUAAGGUAGCGAAAUUCCUUGUCGGGUAAGUUCCGACCCGCACGAAAGGCGUAACGAUCUGGGCGCUGUCUCAACAAGAGACUCGGUGAAAUCAUAGUACCUGUGAAGAUGCAGGUUACCCGCGACAGGACGGAAAGACCCCGUGGAGCUUUACUGUAGCUUGAUAUUGAGCACUGGUGGCACAUGUACAGGAUAGGUAGGAGACGAAGAAACCAGGACGCCAGUCUUGGUGGAGUCGCUGUUGGGAUACUACCCUUGUGUCACUGGGGUUCUAACCCGUGGCCCUUAUCGGGUCAGGGAACAGUGUCAGGUGGGCAGUUUGACUGGGGCGGUCGCCUCCCAAAGAGUAACGGAGGCGCCCAAAGGUUCCCUCAGAAUGGUUGGAAAUCAUUCGAAGAGUGUAAAGGCAGAAGGGAGCUUGACUGCGAGACCUACAAGUCGAGCAGGGACGAAAGUCGGGCUUAGUGAUCCGGCGGUACCGAAUGGAAGGGCCGUCGCUCAACGGAUAAAAGCUACCCCGGGGAUAACAGGCUGAUCUCCCCCAAGAGUUCACAUCGACGGGGAGGUUUGGCACCUCGAUGUCGGCUCAUCGCAUCCUGGGGCUGUAGUCGGUCCCAAGGGUUGGGCUGUUCGCCCAUUAAAGCGGUACGCGAGCUGGGUUCAGAACGUCGUGAGACAGUUCGGUCCCUAUCCGUCGUGGGCGUAGGAAAUUUGAGAGGAGCUGUCCUUAGUACGAGAGGACCGGGAUGGACACACCGCUGGUGUACCAGUUGUUCUGCCAGGAGCAUAGCUGGGUAGCUACGUGUGGACGGGAUAAACGCUGAAAGCAUCUAAGCGUGAAGCCCCCCUCAAGAUGAGAUUUCCCAUUCGAAAGAAGUAAGAUCCCUUGAAGACGACGAGGUUGAUAGGUCAGGAGUGGAAGUGUGGUGACACAUGGAGCGGACUGAUACUAAUCGAUCGAGGACUUAACCAA